GGGACAUUUGUGUGUGUAGUCACACUGUAGUUAAGAUAAUUAGUACCAGCUGUUACUCUCUUCUUUCUUCUGGAAGAACAUAGCAUCACACGAAGCCAGCACAGCAAGAAGACAGACACGAGGAAGAUGCUGAAGCAUGUCCUUAAAGCCUCAAUAAUUUUCAGUGCUGUUCAGAAACUUUCGCAUCAAGUCCGUGAAAGCCAAUGUGAAAGAUGGCAUUUUAGAAAGUAAUACUGUCAAACUCAUGUUCAGAUUUUCACCAUGUAAAUUCCACGCAAACAAUCAUUUUUAAUACCCCUCCCUCCCCUUCAGUGUUUACCCAAGGCAGGCCACCUUGAACCAAUUACAAACACAAGGGGCAGAGACAGAGUUUACUUUAUUGUCUGAAGAGGAAAAUCCUGUCUGGAAACCAUUUCUUCCUAGCACUGCCUGCACUGCACGCUCUCCCCUUCAAAACACAUCUUGAGAAAAAUUUGACAAAGAGUUCUUCUUACACAAGUUACAUGGAUGUUGCUGUGCUACAAGAAAAAUACUUAUUUGGAGACAGACUGCAUCCAUUGUCUGUUGUGACUCAGUAAAGCCUUGGUGAUUCUAUGACUCUGUAAUCCCUGGAGGUGCUCAAGGCCAGGUUGGAUGGAGUCCUGGACAGCUUGAUCGGAAAAAUGAUAAACAGGCUGAGAAACAUCAAGGAGAAACAAGAAAGAUGAUCAAGAAAUGAAAAGGGAGAUGAACAAACUUGUUCAUAAUCGGCGUAGCCAUCAUCCACACUUAUGACUUCGAGCAACAAAUAAAACUAAGAUCUAGCUUUUGUAAGCAGUGCAAAAUUUGCAAUCCCUUUCAAAUCAGAGAAAUAGUAUGUUAAUACUAAGGGAAAGACCAAGAGUCCAAGUAUUCCCAAAGUAAAAAUCAAAUAUUCUGGAGCCAUGUGAAUAAAUAAAAAGAAAAAGAAAAAAGAAAAAGAAAAAAAGAAAACAGCAGCAAAAGUCAUCUUAAAAAUAGGACAAAGACCUUUGACAAGCAACUGUUAAUAUAUGGAAAAGAAAUAAAUCUUGAACAUACCACAUUCUGUGAUCUAGAAGACUAAAAUAACAUUUGGAGAGUCAUGAAUCAAUGUGAAACAUUUCAAAAUUGUUGGCUUUCCCCCAAACAUAUCCCAAACGACAUAUUGUGGGAAUAUUCUUUGCACAAAAUAUUCUAGCUGUCAUACAGUUGGUAGCUUCCCAUGAAGCUGUAGUUCAAAUAUUACUGUAAAUACAGUAUGUUUAACAAAUUUAUUUUAAAAAAAUCUCCUUCAAGAAUACAAAGACAACAUUCUGUAAGAAUACUCAAAAGCAGCUGACCCUGCUUUUUUGAGGUUUAGAAGACCAGAUGUACAUGUGUACAACAGCACCUCAAACUUGAAUAUACAUCUGCCAAAACCAGCAUCAUCCUCACUGAAGCAGAUUCUAUUGCUUUUUUUGGGGGGGUAAAUACUUUUUAAAGCAAAGACGCAUUAACCAGCAAACUUUACUAACAUCAGAUGCUUUCUUUUAUGUAACAUGAAAUGCACUGAUUGUCUUUGAAAUCUCUCCUAUUUUCCUUCAAUGCACAGAUCCUCUAUCUACCCUCUCAUCCCUAUUUUUAAGCCUGUUUUUAAUUAUUUCUCUCUAAUCUUCCCCCCACAUACACAAACCACCCAUAUGCAGCAUGCAAAUCCACUAUGGUAAGCAUAUGUGAGGAAUUUGCCAGUGUUGAAUUUGCUGAAUCUUUAAAAGCAAUCAAAAUGAGCAAGUCUGGAGGCCUGAUGUCAGAAAAAGUAGUUGUACAAGUACACGCUAUUCACAAAAAUAAUUUCAAAUGUUGCAGAAUAGGUUCCCAGUCCAUUGAGGCAAAACAUAUGUUACUUCUGCUGCUGCCCAUCAUUUCAUGAAAGAGGCUGCCACUUUGGCUUAUGCUCAGUAAUACCUUACUCCCCAGGUAGUCCUAUUGAAAACUGUGAGACAACACAGCAAAUAGUCUUCUCAGUAUUAACAGCAGCAGCAAGCCUGUCCCAUUGUCAAUCAUCUAUAAUCUCUGCUUUUAUUUAAAACAGUAUGAAGAGCCGAUAUGUAUAGUGACUGUUUCCAGCCCUGGUGCAGUAGCCCAUUGGGCUGUAAAGGGAUUUAGUGCUACAAGUGCUGCAACAAAUCUUGUAACUGCCCAAUUACCACUUGAUGGCCACCACUCUCUGGCACCCUAGGGGCCACGUCAUUGAAGAUAAGCUCUGUUUAUGUUAACUUGGUGUCAGGAUGUACAGCAUAUGUCUAUGAAGCUGGAUGAGUGCCCUUUAGCAGGAUGUUCUGUACAUUCACAUUGUGCAGUCAAGAGCCCCGAAGGUGUUGAAAAAGAAGAAAAGGCCUUUCAUAGAAAGCUUAAUCCAAUUAAAGCAUAUUAAUGAAGGUUAGGAUCAUCUGUCACAUUAUCCAGACACAUCCUUUCAUGCAUCAUCAUCUGAUUACAAAGUCUGAUUUUCUUUUAAGGCUUUUCAUCUUCACCAAGAAAAUGUGAUGGGAAAUUCAACACUUAAAAUACAGAAGGCUUAGAUGGGAUUUCUAUUUCUUUCUUAUUUUUUUUCCUCUCCCUGAGAGAAAUAUGAUGCUUAUUUUAAAACAGUAGUAUGUCUCAACCACUGGUACAAACUGGCAUGUAUCUAGCACAGCCUAGAGAGCUACCCUAAGUAACACCUCUCAGAUUUUUGUUUGAGGGAAUCCAAAAUCUUAACACAGAAAAGUAAACGAAGGAGAGAGAGAGAGAGAGAGAGAGAGAGAGAGAGAGAGAAGGUCUGAAACAUGAUACACUGCAAAUGAAUAAAGGAUUUGGGGCUCUGUUGCUGCAAGAGUUGUAUCAGGCUAGAUUUCUCUGAUAGCAAUGAGUGCACCUUCCCAUCAUCACCAUGUUAAACAAUUUGAACAGCUAUAAGGGAAAGGUCUGCCUCCUUGAUCAGAAAAGAGGGAAAAGGCAUAUUGGAUACAACACUCUUCGUGAUGCUACAGCAAGGCAGAGACAAGAAGAUGAGAGAUUGCACAGCAACUGAGAAAUUUCUCUGUUCAGGAGCACCUGUGGACACAGUGAAAUGGCACUACCUUGCACCAUGCUCCUCAGAGCAGUUGAAGACUACAAAUCCCUGUGCUAAAAAGACUAACUCUAGUACGAGCAGGGGCCCAGUUUCCAAAACUUGUGCAACAUGUAAAUCCAUUAAAGAUCAUCAUGAUGAGGAUCCCAUUAAAGAGAAAAAAAUUAAAAAAAAUAAAACAGGAAAUUCAAUAAUAACACAAUAAUGCCUUCAAAAUAAGUGUCAGUCUCAGCAUCACCCCAUGAUGCAACUAUAACGAUUUCUGCCUCUUAGCCCUUCAGAUGGUCACAGCUCAUGCUCUGCAGAGAACUCUGGUCUCGUAACACAGCUGGUAUGAACAUAUUUUUGCACCCCCUACCCAUGUAAGUGCAAAUGCCAGUUCCUCAUGUCAUCUGGCAGUGAAUCCACUUAGGUUAACCUUGCAUGUAAGUCCUAUUACCUAAGGAAUCACCCUCAGGAGGUGUUCUGCAUCCUUGCACUCCCUUUCCAUACACUACAGAGAGAAAAUAGAGAGUAUUACAACGAUCCCAUCCCUCUCCCUCGACCUUCAGCUGGCCUUUGUGUCUUUUUGGAUUUGGAGCUGCUGCUUCAGGCUGCAUGGAGGCUCAGGCAGGCAAGAUAAUACGUAUAUUUUUUGCUUUUCCUUGCAACAGGGAUAGUGUUUGUUUUGGUUUUUUUUUUAUGUUUGUUUUUGUUGUUAUAGUUUUUUUGCUUAGUUUCUGAAGAAAUCACGAAAUGCCACAUGAGUAUUGUGCCCACUGUUGGCUUAGUCCAAUUGCUGUUGUCACUCUCUAAGCACAUAUGCUGAAAUUUGUGCAAUCUGUCCUCUGAUAUUUACAGUACUGAGUCCGAAACAAAAAGGCAAGCAGCCAGACCUGCUGGGCCUCUGACAGAAUUACUGAAAGGCUAGAAGGAUUAAUGAAAUAGGUAGGGGAGAAUUUGCUCAUUAGCAUUCAAGGAACAUCUAGAGCCUAGAAGGAAUGUUAGGUUUUUACCAGAUAUCUUCUCUGGGGUUUAUUAAGCUAGCUGUAUACUUCAAGCAAAGAAAGCAAUGAAGUGUGCAAUUUCUCAGCUACAUUUAACGUAUUAUUGAGGAGCAUGCCCUGCUGAGGACUACAUACUUUUGUGAAAAUUCAACAUGAAAUUUGAGAGAACAGGCCUCAUCUUACAUUAAUUUGAUAUCUCACAAGCCUUGAAAUUCACGUUAUUUAAAACAAAAGCCAAAACCAACUUAUCUCAGCCUUGCUCCCUGAAGCAUGGUGAAGGGACCUGCCUCCAAUUUUCAAAGUUAAAACAUGAGAGUACUUUCGGGUAGGAAGAUAUUUACUAGACUGGUUGAUGAAAAGCUAAAAUGUAAGAAGAGAUAUGAAGCAAAUUGUGUUGUUUCUACCUUCUUCCUACUUCUCAUAUGUCAAGCUAGAGUGAAUACUGCUGCUGUACCAUGAGACCAUUGUGCACACAGAUGCCAUCUCAAUUAAACCACCACCCACUAAUCUACUGUGGACAAACAUUUGCCUGUAAGCAGAUGAAACUCCUACAGCUGAUUAAGCAACUGGAUCACCCUAUAAAGCUUAAUCCACUUUUCCAAAGCACUGCCUUCCUUUUUCAUGUUUCAUGUCCAGCCUGAGGUCAAAAUCACUAUCAACUUGCCCCCCAGAGCACUUGGGCGCAAGGUACAAAUACUUAGCAUGUCAAGGUCAGCCUAAUUUAACAUUCAAUAUACAGUACACUGAUAGACAUCAAGGAAUCUAUGGGCAACUUGUUAUAUACAUUUUCUCUAUAGUUGAGAUCAGUGACAAUUGAGCAACAACAAAAUUAUUUCACUAUUGGCAGUUAGUUAUUCUGCAGGGAUGCACACAUGCUCUGUUAAGGCCUUCAGUGAUAAGUCAAUGUCUUGAUGCACAACCUUACAUUAGCAUUCAUUUAGAAAAUAUAGAUUUAGUACAAGUGUGCCCCACUCAACUUGUGGAUUCAGAAAGCCUUAAACUUUGGAAAAGUUUGCAUCCUAUUAUAAUCCCUUUCUAGUGUUAUCCUGUUUCCACUUAUUACUAGUCACAUUAAUCACUGCACAAACUUAAUUGUUAAAUUGUCAUUUUAUGAAAGAAAAAGACUGCCCUUGUGACAGGCUUACAUUUUCAUGUACCCUGUUUUAUACCAGUAGUAGCAGACUUGACAAAGAGUAUGUGACCUGAUUUCCCAGAUGUCUGUAAAUGUACUUGGCAUUGAAUUUUAAAUCUGACUGAAUUCAAAGCUCUUCAUAUAAAACACAACUCAAGUUAACUUUUAUCUCUUUUCUUCUUUCUGUCUCUCAGCAGCUGUUCUUCUUUUAUUAUUUCAUGUGCUAUAUUCAAUAUGCAAAGUUUCCUUGUUUGUUAGAGUGCAUUACACUUUCUAAUGCAUCUGUCAUGUUGGAAAACAGGAAAGUAGCAUAAAGCCUCUCUUGUGAUUUCUUUUUUUUCUUUCUUUUUUCUUUUUUUUUCUUUUUUUUUUUUUUUUCAGUUAAUGGAAGGCUUAGCUAGAAGAGAAGGAAAAAAAAAAAACAAUGAAAGGAAAUUUGCCUCUAAGCAUCUACAGAGCUUAGAAAAGGGUUCUUCAGCUUUAUGAAACUUUAAAAAAGUAAAAUACCAGAGAAUUUAAUGCUUAUAAAUGACAAAACAUGAAUGGCUCUGGGAAUUCUCCUUAAAAGGAUGAUUUUGAAGCUAAGGCACAAGAUAGACAGCAGACCUGGAUUCUGUUCUACAUAUACCAGUGGUUUUAUUGGUUAACCUCUCAGGGUAUGCCAGUCCUGGGGAUAUUUAGAGAAACAAUCCACAUCAGCAUCUGAUCCAACACGGGAUCCUACAGAAGAGGUGUUUUAUAUAAAACAGCUCGACUUGCUUUCACUCUUUAGUUAAUUCUGCAAAAACUGAGCCAAAUCAAAUUCAUACAUAGCCCAGUCCUGCCUCAGAAGUCUUUUCCAACCUAAAGCUUCCUAGAAUAUAAAUCUUUUGAGCAGACAGAUGAGCACUGUUGGACCUAGGCAAUUCUUCCCCGUAGUCAGAAUUACUGGGUUCUGGGGGAAGUCCAGCCCAGGUGCCAUGAGAUUGCAAGUAGGCUAAUUCACCCCCCCUGAGCCCCAGCAGCAAAAGUUCCCUGACAGAUUUCUGUACUGACUCUGCACCACAUCUUAUAGUAUUCAGCAUCUCCACAGUACAUCGCACAGCACUGAGCAGCUUUCACAAAUAUCUACACUACAAGGCAUUCUCAGUGGUAAACAAAAUCAAACAACAUCAUCAACAGGAAUUUAGAUUAGCAUUAGGUAUAUCACUGGUUGUUGGAGCACACAUGAACUAUAUUCACACAUGAAUAGUUUAUAUAUGUGUGUGUGUAUAUAUAUGGACUGCUAUGAACACAUAUUAAUUUUUUUGUACAUUUUUUAAAAACUUGCCUCAGUGUAAGUCAACUGCAAAAUGUUUUUUCUUCCUUUACAGUAAUAUUCACAGAGCUACACGUACUCAUUUCUACAAAUUACUGUUGCUUAUUUGGUAAGAGAAAAAUAACAACAGAAGGUAUCAUUAUUUUAAGCCAGAGAGCAUGUAACGCCAACUCACUCAAAAAUAUCCACUGUCACUGGAAGUAAACCAGAACACGCUAAACCUCAGUUCCAAGAGCACAUCUGCAACCAAAGCACAACACAAUUCCACAAGCAUGUGCUCACAAAAACACUCACAUCCUUGACCAAUGUUCUGGCAAGUUUUGCUUAUUCCUUCUGAUUUCAACAAAAUGUCACCAGGACCAAAUUCUCGGCAACUCCGUCUGGCGCCUCAGCCUGGGCUUCUACUGCAGGAGCCAGGCAACGUGCUGCAAAGUGCAGACCCAGAUUCUUUCACAGUGAUUUUUCAAAGACUGGAUCUUUGUUUUGCAGCAGUGAUAACAGAUCUAACAUUAUCAUCUCUGAAACAGAAUAUUUUUUCCACACAUCACUUCUUCAAGUCCAAAUAUUCCCAUUGGUUUCCAGAUUAUGCUUGAAUUUUUCCUCAGUUUCUUUGGGCAUCAACAAGAAAAACAGACUCUCCAGACUAGGUUACAACACAGAUGUUGUCUGACUUGAUUCAAAGUUUAGUGUUGACGGUACCUAGCGACACUUAGCAACUGAGCUACAAUUCUGGCCAGUCUCUGCACUGUGGUCUUACUCAACAAAUGGUAAUUCUGUUGAAACUGGGUCAGAGUGAGCUGUGUGCUAUAGCCCUCUGUGUGACUUGCCUUUUUUUUAAAGCACAGGGGAUUCUCAUCUCUGGGCCCAGUCAAGGCAUAUUCCCUCCAGGACCUGCUGAAAAGACAGCGGCCAAAGAGUCACACGUAGGCCAAAAGCACAACACAACUUUUAAACACACUGCAGCACCUUGGAAAGUCAAAAGGUGAACUUGGUACUCACCUCAUAAUUUCUUUUUUCUUGUUACCCGUCUGCUUGGUGUUUCACACUUUUACCUGCAUAUUCUGUAAAUAUUUUUUUUCAUUUCCCAAUCUAUCUACACAGUAACAUUUUUAAACAGUCUGAUGUCACAAUUUGAAAAGAUUUUUGAAUGCCUUAAAUUAUUUCAAAUCUCUAGUCACCUCUUAAAUUCAAGUCUGAAUGGCUCAAAACUAGAUCUACUGUUGGGAAGUGUGUGCUAAACGUGAUCUUAACUUUAACUAUAUGGUUGCCUGACCAAUAUUGCAGCAUAUCAAGAAGCUAUAGCGAGGACUAGAUUUCAGAGAGGCCAGCAUUCUGAGCUGGAAAUUCCUUGGGCAAUUAGGAUGGAAAUAGGCAAAAAAAAAAAAAAAAAAAAAAAAAAAAAAGGCUGAGGAAAGGGAUGGAGUAAGUUUCAUUUCUCUUCUCAAGUGUCAAACAUGCUGUUCUCCACUGCAGAUAAAUACAUAUCUCUUUGUAGAAAGAUCAGCUAUAAUUUCUCCCCAGGAUCUGGAGGCGCUUAUAAAGACAGCAGGGAGCUCACCAGCUUUUAAUUCACUCUUUCAGUAUCAGAUUGGAGGGACCCACAUCCAAGCCCUCUCUUUGCCUAAGCGCAAGCACUAGAGAGUAACGAUUCUGACAAUGCUUUCUCCUUUAACAAAGAAAAUCAACUGGAAAAAGAAAACUCAAGAGUAAGCAUGCUUCCAUUUUCUAAGGCCAAAGUUGCUAGCUCUGUCUCAUGGGUCAUUUGUUGGCUUGUAAAACUAUUUUAUGAUUUUUGUGGCAAAAAGUAAGGUUAAAAAGAAGGGGAAAAUACAAGCUCCAAAUUAAUGUUCCUUGGAUUUUCCUUGGACAGUCCAGUCAGACUUUAAUGAAUAUAGAGAGAGAGCAAACAUUGACUGCAGCGAAGACUACCAUGAACAACUUUUCUCAUUCAGAUACAUCAUAAACAUUGGAUCUAUGUAAAGUGCCCAGUCCUUAAUCUACCAAAUAUUUAAUUAUUCAUGUGAAAGAGUAACCAUUUCAACAGGAGUGGUUCAGCAAGCUCCAAGCUAAUGGCCACGAAUGGCCUUAUACCUGAGUUAUUCCAGACAAGGUAGGAGCUCAAAACCCCUCUAAGCAAAUAUUCAAACCACCAUUAAAGGGCUGGUUUUCUGCAAAGUCUCUCUGGGUGGUGUCCCUACUCAGACAUUAUCAAUAUGUCUCAGCGUCUUCCGAAUCAGGUCUGCCUGGUGCACUCUUGGAGGUAGAACAAAAUUACCCACCCCAGACCACAGUCUUCUGCCCAGGUCAGGCUACACUGAGAUUAAGUACUUUAGAGCAGUGUCAUGAUCAUCCUUCACUUUGUCUUGUGGGUUCCUCCUCUUCCUUGUACAGUAGUAGGAGAUGCACCAGGUGGACAAAGCUGAGACUGAAACUUGCUUGAAAACAACUCACACUAUGCUAGCCAUGAUGUGACUUUGCAGACCAUAACAUGAUCCUCAGGUCUGGUCUUAAGGUUUCCUUUUUUGUUCAAAGCCAUAUAAGGAAAAAAACAUAUCCUUCGCUCCCUGUGAUAUAUCAGCACCAGCAAGCAGCAAAGAGGGCAUAGAUAAAUACUAUACAGUUAGUUUGUGAGGCUGCUUAGGUUUGGGAAAAGCUGCUGUCACUACUGUGCAGGCAUUCACCUUGCAGCACAUCUUCUGCUGUUUAGAGAUCAUAACAGAACCACUAAAAAUAAUACAUAGGCUUCAGAACAAAAAGCAGUGCUUGAAACACAGUUUCAUAGGUUCUGCAGUAUAUUUUACAAAAAUUCUUUACAAAAUUAUGUUUUACCACUGAAGCACCAUCUUCUUCCAAAUUCCUGCUCAGGUCUGGGAGCAGGGAUAAGGGUUUACAUCUCCGUUAAUAUCCCAAACAUGGCAGCUCUAUGCCUGAGAGAACUGAAAAGGUGUAAACAGAAAUGCAAGAUUUUUAUUAAAAUAGUAGAGGUAGUAGAAAUCAAGUAAAGAAAGAGAGAUUGGAAGAGUGAAGAGUGGAAAGAAAGGUUGCAGGAGCAGAGAAGCGGGGAGAAUAUUUUAGAGGCAGAAGGGACGAUAGCUUCUUUCACGCAUCUGUCUAGAAAGUGAUGAGCAGAUGGAAGGUUUACAACAUGUGGCAUUUAAAGAGAAAGUCAAUGUUUAACAGGAGUUCUUCUGUCUUUUAGAAUAUUGAUUUUUGAAAAUAAACACCCUUUAAAGAGCAAUCACACAUGAAAAAAACUCAAAAGCAAGAUAGCUGAGGUUCUGGGUUUUAGCAUACUAAGCAGCUGUCUCAAAUGAGAUUGCCAGCUGCCACAAGUGCAGAUAUAUACCUUAAAGAGGUAGAAAUUGAGGAAUAGUUGUCCUCAGUUGUUCAGGUCAUAUGACUUUCAUAAUUUAACCUUAAAAGUCUAUCUGCAAUUCCCAUGGGUCAUGGGAACAUUACAUGCAUAGGAAAAUCCAGUAUGAGGUUUACUUAUCAGGGCUACAGGCAGGAAGUGGUCUCUAAUAUUCUCUACUUAGGAUCUGAUGAAGCUGAAAUCAGCAGGACAUCCUAUAGUGAUGUUCAGACAAGAAGUGCACCAGCCACAAAAAACAUUCCAUGCCUCCUGCCCUAUCACAAGCAACACUGCAGGCAUGGAGCGCAUGCCACUUCUCUGUAGCACUUGUGUGCCUACAUUUCAUGCCUUUCUCCUGAGAGACAAAUUAAACAGAACUGCCAAAAGCUGUCAUCCAGGAAGAAGUGUGUGUAGGGUGCUUCAUAGCUCAUCUGUGCUUACAACAGUUCUCUAGGCUGCAAUGGUUGCUCUCUUAAUAGUGUGAAUGAACAUACAUGUAAGUAUUUCUCAGAUCAAGGCACAGAAGAAACACAGUACAGUUUUUUACACAGUACUAUUUUUACAGGAAAAUACAUGUUUUUAUAUUUUUCAGAUGUUACUGAUUUCAUAAUACAGAGGAACAGUUUAGAAAAAGUUUCAGUCCUCUGCAGAAUAUAAUGGUGAAUUUGAUCUCUGAAAUUUCCAAACGAUGCACCAAAUACUUAUUCAAGCCUGUUAAAUGUUGGGACUAUGACCAGAGUUGGUACUCUUUUCCCAAAAAAAGAGGAUUUUGCUGCCAUCUUGGAAAUGAAUUCUAUGAUAUUUUCAAAAUAGUUUCAGCCCUCUUUUUUCCCACACUGAUAUUUAAACUGAGUGCUGUCUCUACACAUGAAGCCAGUGUGGCCUAAACCACCACACAUUAAUAAGCGGAUAAUAAGGAGUGAUAUCUCAGAAACACUUUCCCUUUCAGAGGGGAAAUUUCUUCUUUUGCUCCUUUCCUUAAUCUGAAGGAUAUGCUCCUUAGAAAUUGAAAAAAAAAACAUGUGUAUGGAAAAAUAAAACAGGAAACUUGGACACAACAGAAGGUCAUCUUUAAAAAACUCUUAAAUUCCAUGCUAUAGGAGGUCAACCAGUGUUAUUCACCCUUGUGUCUGGUUACAAACCUAAAGUUGGUUCAGAAAACUGUUAUAAACAUAUUUCAACAUGCGCUUGGAAGGAAAAUUAAAUGAAACCUGUGCCAUGCAGCCAAAACCAUAAAUUAAAUCCUAAACAUUCAUGCCCUAAAAGAGUCAACAACCUCAGUCCAGAUAAAGGCUAGUUUAUUUUAUACACUCUGAGAGUUACUCAGAUGUCCUAAAUUCCAUCUAAGCCCCUGAGCAUGGUGUUUCCUUUUGACUAAAUGUUUUUGAAAGCCUGAAGCUAGCCAAGAGAAAACACCAAGCACAAAGACUCGCGGAAUUCUGGCUGCAUUAAUAAGCCCUAAACGAUAAAGGUCUUUUCCCUGCCAAAAUUCUUCCCCUGAGUAAAGCUACCUUACCCAAAGCCACUGCCAAGAGGUUCAAUAUCUCCGAGUGGAAAGGAAUUAUUAAAAAAUAGGAGGACUGACAGUCAUCCCACAAGGUCUCAGGCUUUCCUUACAAAUAAAGGAAACAAAUCCUUGCCGAGUACAGUGUACAAAAGCCAGCAGUGUAUAGUUCAGCGGAGCAAGGAGUACUGUUUAUUCACAAGUUGCGAGUACAUAUCCCCAAAAGAACUGCAUGAUGAGGAGUAUAUGAACUUGAGUCAGCUGAACUGUUUCUUUCUACUUAGCAACUUGUGUUCUAUGUAAUUUCUUGAAUUUUAAAAUCUUUCUUUGAAAAGUGACAUGGAACUAACAGAGUAGCUGCAGAACACUGCUGCUAUGUACCUGGUUCAUUGCACAGGCCACUGUAGAAAGCAUGUGAUGAGAAACAGACCCUCUAUCUCUAAAACAUAAGAAAAGAAAAAUAAAAAAGCCAGAAUCACUCGGUGAUAACUACGGAUAGUUUAGCACUACGAGCCAUUUCUGAAGAUCAUUUGAGCAAGCUACAAAAACUCAGCACUGCAGCCAAAGAAGCUAUCUGCAGAAUGCUGGGCAAAGAAUUUCUUUCUGAUUUCUUUCAGUGUUCCUCAGCAGCUGGCCACAUACAGGGCAGCUUACUCUGAAGCUGAUUUCCUUCUAUGCACGUAUUUAGAGAACUCGAUUCGCUAAAUACAGAUGUUUGACAUUUUUUAUUGCAACGUAUCAUCUAGUUUUAUAGUAUUAAAAACAAUGCUAAAAUCUCCUCAUUAAUUUCACUACGUGUUCUACUCUCCCCCUCCUCCUCUCCUAAUGGCCUGGAGCUAUGAACAGGCUGUUGUUCGACACUACAGGGUAUGAAUGGCCAGUUAGUAUUCAAAGCUAGUGCAGACACUGGUUGUUUGGCACCCCUGAAUUUAUGCCCAUCUGUCAACGUGGUUUUGUUCCCACUCAAACAGUCAUACGUCAGUUGCAAGAGUACUGGCACCAGGUGUAAGUCUAGAGUAGACACUGCUAGAUUGUAAAGAAAAGUUUUGCUUUGCAAGAAGCUUCUAUGAUAGCAAGUAAUCAAAACAUAUGGAGAUUACAGACUGAGAUUUGUUGACAUUUUGAGGCAUAAUGGCACAAACAAAUGCUUUUAUCCUUAAAAUGUUUCAUUUGCUGAGAAUUUACAUUUGAAAAGCCUAAUUAAGGGACAAUAUCGUCCCCAACAGAAAAUAAGCAACCUCUACAAACUCAGUGGAUAUCCUUUUGAAGUGAGCUGGAAAAUGUACCCUUACAUAAGGCUUCAUUUUGUUAGUGGAAGGCUGGUGUUUCUUCCUCCUUUAAAUGAGCUAGAAGCAUUCAAAUAGGCAGAGGCUAAGGAAAGCUGUCCUGUGGAAAAAAAAAAAAAAAAAAAAAAAAAAAAAAAACACGAAAAAGCAAGUUUUGCUUUUGGGGAUCAACAUUUUCUUUAUUCUGAACACAUUUCCUAUUCAGUAGCAAAAAGAAGGCUUACUCCUUUAACAAUAAGCAAUUUGAAACUUUUCUAAAAAUGUGAAUCACAUUUAGAGAUUAGGGACAUGAACACGUGUUUGUUAGGUACUCAGUGCAUUUGAAAGAUUGUCUAAGAGAUUCAGACUAAUAAGAAGCAUCCAAGUCUGAACUCUAACAGAAGUCUUAUUUCUGUCCCUCUCCAGUUAUUCAAGUAAGUAAACCUUCUCACUGCAUCCCACUACCAGGGGACUAGGGCUCUCUAAUGAGAAAAGGGUUGUCCCUUAAAUAUCCUGAGACACAAUGAAGGAGAAACUGAAGGCCAAUGGGACUUAGUUGAACUGUACAGAAAAAUGACAGAAAGAGAUAAAAAUUGGAAAGGUUGAAUGUAGCACACUCCAGUCAUGCCUUGGGUACACUGAAAGGAAAAGGUACACUGUUGUGUCAAAAGGACACAGGAAUUCAAAACAUACCUGACAGUUUGGCUCCACUAUUUGGAUCUCUCAUGAUCAGUGUAGCCCUGACUUAUGAAGUUGGUAUCUCCCACCAUUCCUUUAUGUCCAGUGGACCUUAAGAAGCAAUCAUUUAGGCAGUUGGUCUCACAGAAUUGAUUUAAUCUUUCUCCCCAUCUGUACUUUCUGAAACCUCCAGUUUUCUCACUCUAUCUAUUACAGUUAAUGGUAUUGAAAAUGUCAUUGGUAGCAAUGGAACAAAGAGAGCCUGGACCUCUUCACCUGAGAUCCCUCAAGGACAAUCUGUCUCUGCUUGUGCACAUUACUUGGACUUUGGGGAUGUGUGCUGCAAUAAACAGAUGUAGGACUCUUUUCCAGUAAAUUUUCAGAAAGACAAAGGGAGUAUUGGAGGAAUGCCCUCUUUGACAGCAGGGUGAUAAUAUGAGUAAGUGAAAGCAUCACUUUGGUAUUAGCUUAUACUCUCAAGCAGCAGGAUCUGGAUAGAAAACAUCACAUUUGCAAGAGAGUUUUGUUCAUGAAUAGGUACCAGGCAUAAAGGGAGACCCAAUAAAACUCAGUGCUAAAUGUGUAGGGAAAAUAUAAUGAGGAAACAUCUUUCUCCCCACAUCAAGGUAACUUGUAAGCUAACAAGUCAGAAACAGAUGUUUGGUAUCUCACUUUCAGAAUGAGCAGCUCCCUAAAACGAUUGCUGAGUUUUGUCAUCUUUAGUGUUCUGCUCAAAGCCAACCAUUUAGAGACAGAAAUAGUUAUGACAGUCGUAUGCAGGCUGGAGCUCCCAGCUAUGUUCUCUUGCCAGCAAUUAAAACACUAUGCUUUAUAUCCUUGUGACAAAAAGAAAUACAAAUCUUUUCUUGGCAUCUAUGUAGUUGCUAUUUUCAGACUUUUACAAGGGUUUUUGUACUGCUUAAGAAAACAGGAAAUGGAAAAAAUUCAAAUAGAAGUGUCAGGGUAAUCCCAUAACAUACCCCUUUCAUUCACAUGAUGCUCAGUUGCUGAGGGUCACCAAACUCAGUUAUGUUAACACAAAUUGAAGUCAUAUUGAGGUGCAAUUCCCAACUGUAGCUCACACAUUAAGAUGCCUUAACAAAAACGUAGGCAGACCACGCUGGUGUUUGUUGAAAAGAGAAAGCAAGGGGGGGGGGGGGGGGGGGGCAGAGAAUGUAAUUCCUUCACAGUAAGUGGAAGCAUUUCAGGAUGAAAUAGUACUAGCAGUACAUAUUAAAUUUCAUAACAGGAGUUCUCAGCUCAAAUAUCCUCUUUAGUCUUUGAUUUCAUAGCUGAGACUGGCAGAGCAAAACCACUAUGAGACCAGAUAAAUAUAAAAGUUUAACUUAUUUUAAAUUGGUUUUCCCUCUAGCAUUCAGCUCCAGACUCCCUGGAUUCCUUAAGUUCAGACACAUUCCUGUAUAUCUCACUUCAUGCAUCAGGGAAGCCACUUCUACCUUCUACAUUGCCAUAUCACCAUUUUUCAAAACUGCCUUGCAACUUGAGUUCUGUUAUCUUUUGGCCUCCUCCUCCAAAAUAAUAAUAAAUAAAAAAAAGUCCUCCUGAGUUUUCAGAGAAGGUUAAAAAAAAGAAAAAGUCAACUCUGUCUACUUUGCUCAUCAAUUAUCUCUAACAAGCUGGCAGACAAUU
ensembl:lncRNA